UCCACCUGCGUGUCCCUCCUUCUCUGGCCAGCUGUCCUCCUCUCCUCCACCUCUCACUUGCUGUUUCUGUCUUCCAUGAACUAGGAAAGCAGACAAACCUGUUUCCUAGAAUGGAGGACUUAGCCAACUUGUGGACGGGAACUCGGCGCCUGACGCAGUGUUUUAUGAGCCAAAGAAGGCUGAAUGGACAGGAGGAAGUUGUCCCACAUUCCACCCUGGGGUCCUGCCAUGGCUCAAAGAAGGACAUUUAGGAUGGAAAAUCCUACAGCCAGGAUGAGAGACAAGCCCCAGAGUGGGCGGAAGCCAGGUGGUUCAGGUCUUCUUCUCACCAUGGUCCCAGCACCCCAAGCCUGGCAAAGAGCCUUCCCAUCCUGGACUUAUCACUGGUUGUUGGCUUAUGGAGAGCCCCCUUAAAGCUUCCUGGGCUCAGAGGUGGAACUCUGAAGAGCUGCUUGGGUCACGGGAGCAAGAUAGGUGUCAGUGAAUAUGUCUACACUGAUGAGUCCAUAGCUAACUGUGAUUUGGGAGGUGAAACUGGUUGGAGAAGGUGGUUCCUGGGGGGUGGUCUGGAAGGGUCUCGCUCCCUCCUCCUCUCUAGAUCUCUCUGGCUGCAUCUUGGCACCAAGUCAUCAGCUCUUUCUCCUCUACAAUGCCCCUUCUGCCAUGAUGCCCCCCUUUGCA